UUACAACUGCAGCUUUCAACGGAGCACAGGGAGCAAUCCCUGGUGGUGUAAUGGCGAACGGGUGAGUAAUAUAUCGGAACGUGCCCAGUCGUCGCGGGGAUAACGCAGCGAAAGCUGUGCUAAUACCGCAUACGAUCUACGGAUGAAAGCGGGGUGAUCGCAAGACCUCGCGCGAUUGGAGCGGCCGAUAUCAGAUUAGCUAGUUGGUGGGGUAAAGGCCCACCAAGGCGACGAUCUGUAGCUGGUCUGAGAGGACGACCAGCCACACUGGAACUGAAGACACGGUCCAGACUCCUACAGGAGGCAGCAGUGGGGAAUUUUGGACAAUGGGCGCAAGCCUGAUCCAGCAAUGCCGCGUGCAGGAUGAAGGCCUUCGGGUUGUAAACUGCUUUUGUACGGAACGAAACGGUGAGCUCUAAUAAAGUUUGCUAAUGACGGUACCGUAAGAAUAAGCACCGGCUAACUACGUGCCAGCAGCCGCGGUAAUACGUAGGGUGCGAGCGUUAAUCGGAAUUACUGGGCGUAAAGCGUGCGCAGGCGGUUAUGUAAGACAGAUGUGAAAUCCCGGGCUCAACCUGGGCACCUGCAUUUGUGACUGCAUAGCUAGAGUACGGUUAAGAGGGGGAUGGAACAUUCCGCGUGUAGCACGUGAAAAUGCGUACAGAUAUGCCGGAGGGAACAACGGAAUGGCGAAAGCAAUACCUUCGAAAACUGUACAUGACGCUCCACAGCCAGAAAAGCUUGGGGGAACAAACGGAUUAAAUAACCUUGUCAUCCACAGCCCUAAAAGAUGUUCACCGGUUGUAUGGGCUCCUACCUCGACUCCAA
rnacentral:rRNA from 1 species